UGCCGGGCGAAAUCACAUUCUUCCACCGUUGGGAAUUGCAUGGAAAACGAAACAUAAACAAUUCCCAAGAGGGAAUAAAAUUGAAUGUUAAAUUAUCUAAAAUAAGCUCAACUCGUCAAUCUUCGUCUUAGUGAGACCAUAAGAAUGUCCAUUAUUGCAUUGAACAUGAUUAAUUCAAUUAACCACUGGACAGAGAACAUUCGUAAUCAUUAAAACGUUUUACGAACAAGUACCUUGCAGCACACUCGCAGUACUUUUGGAUUGGGGCGUUGUAAAAACCCGGAAU